UACAGAGAGUGCAAGCGUUAAUCGGAAUUACUGGGCGUAAAGCGCACGUAGGUGGAUUCUUAAGUCGGAUGUGAAAGCCCUGGGCUUAACCUAGGAAUUGCAUCCGAUACUGGGUAUCUAGAGUAUGGUAGAGGGUAGUGGAAUUUCCGGUGUAGCGGUGAAAUGCGUAGAUAUCGGAAAGAACACCAGUGGCGAAGGCGGCUACCUGGACCAAUACUGACACUGAGGUGCGAAAGCGUGGGGAGCAAACAGG
rnacentral:misc_RNA from 1 species